CGGUGAUAUGCCUGGACUUCAAGUGGCGGAGUCGUCUGAUGGGUCCGACUCCGACACCCCU
rnacentral:tRNA from 1 species